GUGGAUGUAGCUUGGUGGGUAGAAUGCUUGCCUUGUGUGCAUGAAAUCCUGGGUUCUAUCCCCAGCAUCAUA
rnacentral:tRNA from 1 species